rnacentral:rRNA from 1 species
UACAGAGGGUGCAAGCGUUAAUCGGAGUUACUGGGCGUAAAGGGCGCGUAGGUGGUUAUUUAAGUUUGAUGUGAAAGCCCUGGGCUUAACCUAGGAACUGCAUUGAAUACUGGGUAACUUGAGUACUGUAGAGGGUAGUGGAAUUUCCGGUGUAGCGGUGAAAUGCGUAGAGAUCGGAAGGAACACCAGUGGCGAAGGCGGCUACCUGGACAGAUACUGACACUGAGGCGCGAAAGCGUGGGGAUCAAACAGG